rnacentral:rRNA from 1 species
UACAGAGGGGGCAAGCGUUAAUCGGAAUUAUUGGGCGUAAAGCGUGCGCAGGCGGUUCUCCAAGUCCGUUGUGAAAGCCCCGGGCUCAACCUGGGAAUGGCAGUGGAAACUAGGGGACUGGAAUCUGGCAGAGGGGGGUGGAAUGCCGCGUGUAGCAGUGAAAUGCGUAGAGAUGUGGAGGAACACCGAUGGCGAAGGCAGCCUCCUGGGCCAACACUGACGCUCAUGCACGAAAGCGUGGGGAGCAAACAGG